rnacentral:rRNA from 1 species
GCCCAAAGAAGAUUGAGUGCUUGCACAAGAUUGGACUUGGAUUACCACCUAGUGGCGGACGGGUGAGUAACACGUAGGUGACCUGCCUUUGAGUUUGGGAUAACUAUUAGAAAUGAUAGCUAAUACCGGAUUAAAUGCAGAUUCGUUUCUGUAUUAAAAGGAGCCUUUAAAGCUUCGCUUAAAGAUGGGCCUGCGGCGUAUUAGCUAGUUGGUGAGGUAAUGGCUUACCAAGGCGACGAUGCGUAGCCGAACUGAGAGGUUGAUCGGCCACAUUGGGACUGAGACACGGCCCAAACUCCUACGGGAGACAGCAGUUAGGGAUAUUCGUCAAUGGGGGAAACCCUGAACGAGCAAUGCCGCGUGAACGAUGAAGGCCCUAUGGGUUGUAAAGUUCUGUUGCAUGGGACGAACGAUUAGGAUAGGAAAUGAUCUUAAUGUGACGGUACCAUGCCAGAAAGCUCCGGCUAACUACGUGCCAGCAGCCGCGGUAAUACGUAGGGAGCAAGCGUUAUCCGGAUUUAUUGGGCGUAAAGGGUGCGUAGGCGGUUUGUUAAGUAUGAGAUUAAAGCCCGAGGCUUAACCUCGGUUCGUUUCAUAAACUGGCAGACUUGAGUGUGGCAGAGGUAAACGGAAUUUCUAGUGUAGCGGUUAAAUGCGUAGAUAUUAGAAGGAACACCAGUGGCGAAGGCGGUUUACUGGGCCAUAACUGACGCUGAGGCACGAAAGCGUGGGGAGCAAAUAGGAUUAGAUACCCUAGUAGUCCACGCCGUAAACGAUGAGUACUAAGUGUUGGGGCAACUCAGUGCUGAAGUUAACACAUUAAGUACUCCGCCUGAGUAGUACGGUCGCA